rnacentral:lncRNA from 1 species
UUCACAGAUCAAAUUUGUUCGUUCAUUGUGUAUUGGUUUGUGUCAUUUCGUAUUUUGAUUGAGUUAAGUCAUUCCAACUGAUAUUUUAUAGUGUGUCUUUCUAUGUUGUGAUGUUGUACUACUGUUUCAGAAAAGGGAGAAGGUCUGGUACCAUUAAAACGUUUAUUCCCGCUGCAAUUGUGUACACCUGUCCUAAGUCAGG